UCUGUGUUCUUGUUCCCCACAUGAAGCGUGAGAGUCCUUCUCAUCAAAAUGAGGGUUUAUUUGACAACACUGGACUUGGCAACAUAGCCUCAAAGAAGCGGACAGCUCUCCGAUGGCAAAGUCACAGCUGGCAUGGGGAAGAGCAGACGUAACGGACGGGCCCAGGAGCUUCUUGAUGCAGCUGAUGUCUGAUGCCUCCUCACUAAUGCAGAGAAGGCAUUGCUGGAGGAGGUGCUCUUCAACAGCACUAUAGAGCUGGAUCAGCGAGCUCAGUUCUCACCUUGGAAAUCAUCUGUCUGCAUCAGGUAGCAGCAGAGAGCUGAGCCUGGAGAGCAGCUUGCUUGGGCAGCAGCCUAUGCUCUGUCUAGUUAAGUAUUCAAAAUGCAAAUGCAUGAGCUUGGGAGUUAGUGUCAUUUCCCCAUCCUUGGAAGCAUCGGUGGCAGCCAGCAGGAGCAGCAGAGUGGACCAGCGCCAUCCCCACACUGUGUCACCAGGGGCAGGAGCAGCCCAGAUCCAAGGGAGGCAGCAGCUGCGGCUGUGGUGGCUCUUCAGAGGAGACUGGCUAAUGUAA
rnacentral:lncRNA from 1 species